CCAGCCAUUUGCCAGCGACGAGGAGAUGAACUCGGAGUCUUCGCGGGCACCAGACGGAGCCAGGCAUAUCUUGCCCAUAAUCAUAGAGGAGCCAGAGCCUAUUUCUAGUGACGAGGAGAUGCUCACAGACUUCCCCUCCCCACUCCCCCCCCUUGCGGAAGUCGGAAGUACCGGGCCUCACCGUGGCGCAAGGGUGUAACGCUCUGUUCAAACCAGAAGGGUGGCCGGGAAAACGAUGGUUCGGGCAACGGCCCACUUUCUGGUUGGAACCGAGCGGCCAACACGGUACUACGCAGAGCAUAGAACAUGUGAAAUGUACAUCCCGGCGGCCGCCGCACUGCUUUGGCAAUGUGUUGUAAACUAUGAGAAACCGGCAGUAUGGAAAUAAAAGUUCAAAUCGGUAG